UACAGAGGUCCCAAGCGUUGUUCGGAUUCAUUGGGCGUAAAGGGUGCGUAGGCGGCGCGGUAAGUCGGGUGUGAAAUCUCGGAGCUUAACUCCGAAACUGCAUUCGAUACUGCCGUGCUUGAGGACUGGAGAGGAGACUGGAAUUUACGGUGUAGCGGUGAAAUGCGCAGAUAUCAGGAGGAACACCGGUGGCGAAGGCGGGUCUCUGGGCCGUAACUGACGCUGAGGAGCGAAAGCGUGGGGAGCGAACAGG
rnacentral:rRNA from 1 species